AAGUCGAACGGCAGCAUGAUCUAGCUUGCUAGAUUGAUGGCGAAGUGGCGAACGGGUGAGUAAUACAUCGGAACGUGCCCUGUAGUGGGGGAUAACUAGUCGAAAGAUUAGCUAAUACCGCAUACGACCUGAGGGUGAAAGUGGGGGACCGCAAGGCCUCAUGCUAUAGGAGCGGCCGAUGUCUGAUUAGCUAGUUGGUGAGGUAAAGGCUCACCAAGGCGACGAUCAGUAGCUGGUCUGAGAGGACGAUCAGCCACACUGGGACUGAGACACGGCCCCAGACUCCUACGGGAGGCAGCAGUGGGGAAUUUUGGACAAUGGGCGAAAGCCUGAUCCAGCAAUGCCGCGUGUGUGAAGAAGGCCUUCGGGUUGUAAAGCACUUUUGUCCGGAAAGAAAUGGCCCUGGUUAAUACCUGGGGUCGAUGACGGUACCGGAAGAAUAAGGACCGGCUAACUACGUGCCAGCAGCCGCGGUAAUACGUAGGGUCCAAGCGUUAAUCGGAAUUACUGGGCGUAAAGCGUGCGCAGGCGGUUGUGCAAGACCGAUGUGAAAUCCCCGGGCUUAACCUGGGAAUUGCAUUGGUGACUGCACGGCUAGAGUGUGUCAGAGGGGGGUAGAAUUCCACGUGUAGCAGUGAAAUGCGUAGAGAUGUGGAGGAAUACCGAUGGCGAAGGCAGCCCCCUGGGAUAACACUGACGCUCAUGCACGAAAGCGUGGGGAGCAAACAGGAUUAGAUACCCUGGUAGUCCACGCCCUAAACGAUGUCAACUAGUUGUUGGGGAUUCAUUUCCUUAGUAACGUAGCUAACGCGUGAAGUUGACCGCCUGGGGAGUACGGUCGCAAGAUUAAAACUCAAAGGAAUUGACGGGGACCCGCACAAGCGGUGGAUGAUGUGGAUUAAUUCGAUGCAACGCGAAAAACCUUACCUACCCUUGACAUGCCACUAACGAAGCAGAGAUGCAUUAGGUGCUCGAAAGAGAAAGUGGACACAGGUGCUGCAUGGCUGUCGUCAGCUCGUGUCGUGAGAUGUUGGGUUAAGUCCCGCAACGAGCGCAACCCUUGUCUCUAGUUGCUACGAAAGGGCACUCUAGAGAGACUGCCGGUGACAAACCGGAGGAAGGUGGGGAUGACGUCAAGUCCUCAUGGCCCUUAUGGGUAGGGCUUCACACGUCAUACAAUGGUGCAUACAGAGGGUUGCCAAGCCGCGAGGUGGAGCUAAUCCCAGAAAAUGCAUCGUAGUCCGGAUCGUAGUCUGCAACUCGACUACGUGAAGCUGGAAUCGCUAGUAAUCGCGGAUCAGCAUGCCGCGGUGAAUACGUUCCCGGGUCUUGUACACACCGCCCGUCACACCAUGGGAGUGGGCUUUACCAGAAGUAGUUAGCCUAACCGCAAGGAGGGCGA
rnacentral:rRNA from 1 species